rnacentral:rRNA from 1 species
CUACGGGACGCUGCAGACGCGAAACCUCUACAAUGCGCGAAAGCGUGAUAGGGGGAUUCCCAGUGCCAGCACUGCUGGCUUUUGCCAAGUUUAGAUUGCUUGGCGAAUAAGUGGGGGGCAAGAUACGUGCCAGCCGCCGCGGUAACACGUACUCCACUAGUGGUGUCCACUAAUAUUGGGCUUAAAACGCCCGUAGCCAGCUCUGAAAGUCCUCUGUGAAAUCGGCUAGCUUAACUAGCCGGCGUGCAAGGGAAACUUCAGGGAUCGAGGCCGGGAGAGGUUAGGGGAAUUCCAGGAGUAACGGUGAAAUGUUAAGAUCCCUGGAGGACCACCGGUAGCGAAGGCGCCUAACCAGAACGGACCUGACGGUGAGGGACGAAAGCCAGGGGAGCGACCCGGAUUAGAUACCCUGGUAGUC